rnacentral:rRNA from 1 species
AACGAACGCUGGCGGCGUGGAUUAGGCAUGCAAGUCGAGCGAGAACCCAGCAAUGGGGGACAGCGGCGUAAGGGACAGUAAUGUGUAGAUUAUCUGCCCUCGGGACCGGGAUAGCUGCGGGAAACUGCAGGUAAUACCGGAUAACAUCUCCGGAUCAAAGGUGUGAUUCCGCCCUGAGAUGAGUCUGUGUCCUAUUAGCUAGUUGGUAGGGUAAUGGCCUACCAAGGCGAAGAUGGGUAGCGGGUGUGAGAGCACGACCCGCCUCACUGGGACUGAGACACUGCCCAGACACCUACGGGUGGCUGCAGUCGAGAAUCUUCGGCGAUGGGCGAAAGCCUGACCGAGCAACGCCGCGUGCGGGAUGAAGGCCUUCGGGUUGUAAACCGCUGUCAGUGGGAAACAAAUCCAUAGGGGUACUCCCCUAUGGUCGAGUGCUCCGCAGAGGAAGCACGGGCUAAGUUCGUGCCAGCCGCCGCAGUAAAAC